rnacentral:rRNA from 1 species
UACGCAGGGGGCUAGCGUUGCUCGGAAUCACUGGGCGUAAAGGGUGCGUAGGCGGGUUUUUAAGUCAGGGGUGAAAUCCUGGAGCUCAACUCCAGAACUGCCUUUGAUACUGAAGAUCUUGAGUUCGGGAGAGGUGAGUGGAACUGCGAGUGUAGAGGUGAAAUUCGUAGAUAUUCGCAAGAACACCAGUGGCGAAGGCGGCUCACUGGCCCGAUACUGACGCUGAGGCACGAAAGCGUGGGGAGCAAACAGG